GAUGAACGCUGGCGGCGUGCCUAAUACAUGCAAGUCGAGCGAACAGAGGAGGAUCUUUCUCCGCUGACGUGAGCGGCGGACGGGUGAGGAACACGUGGAUAACCUGCCUAUAAGACUGGGAUAACGUCGGGAAACCGGAGCUAAUACCGGUUAAUAGGUUGAACCGCAUGGUUCAAUAGUGAAAGACGGUUUUGCUGUCACUUAUGGAUGGAUCCGCGCCGCAUUAGCUAGUUGGUAAGGUAACGGCUUACCAAGGCAACGAUGCGUAGCCGACCUGAGAGGGUGAUCGGCCACACUGGAACUGAGACACGGUCCAGACUCCUACGGGAGGCAGCAGUAGGGAAUAUUGCGCAAUGGGCGAAAGCCUGACGGAGCAACGCCGCGUGAGUGAUGAAGGUCUUCGGAUCGUAAAACUCUGUUACUAGGGAAGAACAAAUGUGUAAGUAACCAUGCACGUCUUGACGGUACCUAAUCAGAAAGCCCCGGCUAACUACGUG
rnacentral:rRNA from 1 species